rfam:Ovis aries breed Texel chromosome 1, whole genome shotgun sequence.
UCCCUGGUGGUCCAGUGGUUCAGACUCCACGCUUCCACUGUAGGGGGCCGGGGUUCAAUCCCUCGUUGGGGAA